UCCCUGGUGGCUCAGAUGGUAAAGAGUCUGCCUACAAUGCAGGAGACCCAGGUUCAAUCCCUGGGUUGGGAA
rnacentral:tRNA from 1 species